rnacentral:rRNA from 1 species
UGGGGAAUAUUGCACAAUGGGCGCAAGCCUGAUGCAGCCAUGCCGCGUGUAUGAAGAAGGCCUUCGGGUUGUAAAGUACUUUCAGUCGGGAGGAAGGGAGUAAAGUUAAUACCUUUGCUCAUUGACGUUACCCGCAGAAGAAGCACCGGCUAACUCCGUGCCAGCAGCCGCGGUAAUACGGAGGGUGCAAGCGUUAAUCGGAAUUACUGGGCGUAAAGCGCACGCAGGCGGUUUGUUAAGUCAGAUGUGAAAUCCCCGGGCUCAACCUGGGAACUGCAUCUGAUACUGGCAAGCUUGAGUCUCGUAGAGGGGGGUAGAAUUCCAGGUGUAGCGGUGAAAUGCGUAGAGAUCUGGAGGAAUACCGGUGGCGAAGGCGGCCCCCUGGACGAAGACUGACGAUCAGGUGCGAAAGCGUGGGGAGCAAACAGG